UGGGGAAUAUUGCACAAUGGACGAAAGUCUGACCGAGCAACGCCGCGUGAGUGAAGAAGGUUUUCGGAUCGUAAAACUCUGUUGGUAGAGAAGAACGUUGGUGAGAGUGGAAAGCUCAUCAAGUGACGGUAACUACCCAGAAAGGGACGGCUAACUACGUGCCAGCAGCCGCGGUAAUACGUAGGUCCCGAGCGUUGUCCGGAUUUAUUGGGCGUAAAGCGAGCGCAGGUGGUUUAUUAAGUCUGGUGUAAAAGGCAGUGGCUCAACCAUUGUAUGCAUUGGAAACUGGUAGACUUGAGUGCAGGAGAGGAGAGUGGAAUUCCAUGUGUAGCGGUGAAAUGCGUAGAUAUAUGGAGGAACACCGGUGGCGAAAGCGGCUCUCUGGCCUGUAACUGACACUGAGGCUCGAAAGCGUGGGGAGCAAACAGGAUUAGAUAGCCCUGGUAGUCCACGCCGUAAACGAUGAGUGCUAGAUGUAGGGAGCUAUAAGUUCUCUGUAUCGCAGCUAACGCAAUAAGCACUCCGCCUGGGGGAGUACGACCGCAAGGUUGAAAC
rnacentral:rRNA from 1 species